rnacentral:lncRNA from 1 species
GAUGUCUCUUGGAGCUAUUAUAACCACUAGCAACCCCCUCAACACGUCUCGUGAAUUCGCGGUACAAAUGGCUGAUUCAAAGCCCGUCCUCGUCUUCACCACUUCUCAAGUCGUCCCAAAAUUGGCUGGAUCACCUCUCCCCAUCGUACUUCUCGACGAGCAAGUGGCGACCGAAAAAACAGGCCAAGUCAAAAUAGUUACUACUAUUAGUGAAAUGUUAAAGAAGGAAACAAAGGACAAGAUCCGAGUGAGGGAUCGAGUGUACCAAGAUGACGCGGCAACUCUACUCUAUUCCUCGGGCACGACGGGUGCCAGCAAGGGAGUAAUAUCAUCUCACGGAAACCUCAUGGCUCUAAUGCAAAGUUUUUCACAUUUGAGCAAUCCAGACGAAGGGGAGCAAACCCAUAUCUGCGC